UACGUAGGGUGCGAGCGUUAAUCGGAAUUACUGGGCGUAAAGCGUGCGCAGGCGGAUUGUUAAGCAAGAUGUGAAAUCCCCGGGCUUAACCUGGGACUGGCAUUUUGAACUGGCAGUCUAGAGUGUGUCAGAGGGGGGUGGAAUUCCACGUGUAGCAGUGAAAUGCGUAGAUAUGUGGAGGAUCUCCAAUGGCGAAGGCAGCCCCCUGGGUUACCUCUGUCGCUCAUGUACGAAAGCGUGGGUAGCAUUCAGG
rnacentral:rRNA from 1 species